AUUGAACGCUGGCGGAAUGCUUUACACAUGCAAGUCGAACGGUAGAGGGGGCAACCCCUUGAGAGUGGCGAACGGGUGAGUAAUAUAUCGGAACGUGCCCAGUCGUGGGGAUAACGUAGCGAAAGUUACGCUAAUACCGCAUACGAUCUAAGGAUGAAAGCGGGGGACUCGCAAGAGCCUCGCGCGAUUGGAGCGGCCGAUAUCAGAUUAGGUAGUUGGUGAGGUAAAGGCUCACCAAGCCAACGAUCUGUAGCUGGUCUGAGAGGACGACCAGCCACACUGGGACUGAGACACGGCCCAGACUCCUACGGGAGGCAGCAGUGGGGAAUAUUGGACAAUGGGCGAAAGCCUGAUCCAGCAAUGCCGCGUGAGUGAUGAAGGCCUUAGGGUUGUAAAGCUCUUUUACCCGGGAUGAUAAUGACAGUACCGGGAGAAUAAGCUCCGGCUAACUCCGUGCCAGCAGCCGCGGUAAUGUGACUACUG
rnacentral:rRNA from 1 species